UACGUAGGUGGCAAGCGUUGUUCGGAAUUAUUGGGCGUAAAGGGCGCGUAGGCGGUUUGUUAAGUCGGUCGUGAAAGCCCGGGGCUCAACCCCGGAGGGUCGACCGAUACUGGCAGGCUAGAGUACAGAAGAGGUAACUGGAAUUCCCGGUGUAGCGGUGAAAUGCGUAGAUAUCGUCAAGAACACCGAUAGUGAAGACAGCUAACUAGCUUAACUACGCUGAGGCACGAAAGUGUGGGGAUCAAACAGG
rnacentral:rRNA from 1 species